GACAUCUCUCAAAACUUAGGAAAACUACAGUGGCAACCUGAGGAUAUAGGGCUCGAUCGAGGUAAUUGAAUUAUGUAAUUCAAUUUGAGAAAAAUAGUUCUAAAUUUGUGUCUGCAGUGUGAUGCAGUGUGAAGUCUGCGUAUGUGUUUGUUGGCUAUGUGUAUGUUGGUAGGUUUGUAUGUGUGUUGUUGUGUGUCUUUAUGAGAAUAUAAACUAUAUAUAUAGGCCUCGUUUGGUUGGGGAGAUUAGUCAUGAUUAACAAAAUAAUUGGACUUUAUUUGAUGUUUGGUAUUUUCAAUAACUUGUCGGGUCGACCCGCAAAUAUUAUUUUAUCAUGCCUUAUCUUGCUUUUUAGACAUGUUUGUUUAUUGAAUCUUCCAAAGUCCAAUAAUACAAUUAAGUUUCAUUAGAUUAUUUAAUUUUAUCUUGGCUGAUCUUAUCUUCCCUACCAAACAAGGCAAUAGUAUAUUACGUAUAUAUAUGUGCAGAACAUACAUCGAUCUAUAUGUAUGGUUGGUACAUAUACGUAUGCAUUGCAUAAUUAUGUUAUGUGUGCAUGUGUAAUGUUUUAUUAGAUUUAUACAUAUAUAUUUGUAUUUAAUAUAUUAUGUGUGUGAGGAGUAUAUGCUGGUUAUGUGUAUGUAUAUCGGUAGGUGAUACUGUGUGUGUGUGUGCAUAUUCAAAUUUGAAGCAAAAUUUGUUGUUUGUUUAACUCUUUUUCUUUCCCGCAGAUCUUAUUGUUUGAACUAUUAUGUAGUAAGUUUUUUGCGGAGUCGACAUUGUGUUCUUCGUUCAAAAUAAGCCGUUCUUGUGUUGCAGAUCUAAGCUUGUAGUAGCUCGUGUUUCAUUAUCGAGAAUGAAUGGUUUGAAAUUAGAGGAUCAAAUGGAUGUGUUUUCUCAUUUGUGUUCUAUCUUUUUGAGCAAUCGAGCCGAUGGAAAAAUAUUUGUGAUCGGUGAGUCAUAUAUACGUAGUCAUAUAUAGUCAGAUGUGGUCAUAUACACGUAGUCAUAUAUAGUCACAUGUGGUCAUAUACAUGUAGUCAUAUAUAGUCAUGUGUAGUAAUAUGUAGUAAUAAUGUAAUAUAUAGUUAUGUGUUUUUUCCUGAUGUAUAGUGAUGUUGAUGAUUGUGUUUUUCCAAUUUCAUGUUGGGUACUAAUAGAUUUAAAUUGUGAAUUUUGUUGUUGGUG
rnacentral:lncRNA from 1 species